GUAUUGUCAUGAAGGUUGGCGCUUCUGUCCUCUUUUCUAUUUUAUGUUGAAAAUAUUCAAGCUUUGACGUUUACUUUUGGAUGUUUUGUUGUGUUUUUGAGCUUUUUCGCAUAGAUUUUGUUAGAAGUUAUUAUUUUUGCCUGAAUUCCUGGAUUUGUUUUGAAUGCUCUGCUGUUAAAUUUUCCGUUUUGAAACUUCUCUUAAUAAAUUGCAAAUGCUCAUUUCCUACUUUUUACCCAUUUUCAUAAUGCGUUUAAAGAUUCAUAAACUGAAAUCACAUUGUGACAGAAUUUGGCGCUAGCAUUUUAGGCUAAGAUAUUUGCUAUGUUGAAAUGGCUAAAU
rnacentral:misc_RNA from 1 species